rnacentral:rRNA from 1 species
GCGCCUAAUACUGCAAGUCGAACGAAGUAGCAAUACUUAGUGGCAGACGGGUGAGUAACAUGUGGGUAUCUUCCCUUUGGUGAGGAAUAACACGAGGAAACUUGUGCUAAUACCUCAUAAGUCUUUACGGAGAAAGCUUUAUGCGCCAAUGGAUGAGCCCGCACUUGAUUAGUUUGUUGGUAGGGUAAUGGCCUACCAAGACUGUGAUCAAUAGCUGAUUUGAGAGGAUGAUCAGCCACAUUGGGACUGAGACACGGCCCAAACUCCUACGGGAGGCAGCAGUAGGGAAUCUUGCACAAUGGAGGAAACUCUGAUGCAGCGAUGCCGCGUGAGUGAAGAAGGCCCUUGGGUUGUAAAGCUCUUUCGUCGGGGAAGAAAAUGACUGUACCCGAAUAAGAAGGUCCGGCUAACUUCGUGCCAGCAGCCGCGGUAAUACGAAGGGACCUAGCGUAGUUCGGAAUUACUGGGCUUAAAGAGCUCGUAGGUGGUUAAAAAAGUUGGUGGUGAAAGCCCAGAGCUUAACUCUGGAACUGCCAUCAAAACUUUUUAGCUAGAGUUUGAUAGAGGAAAGCAGAAUUUCUAGUGUAGAGGUGAAAUUCGUAGAUAUUAGAAAGAAUACCAAUUGCGAAGGCAGCUUUCUGGAUCAUUACUGACACUGAGGAACGAAAG